rnacentral:misc_RNA from 1 species
CCGAAUUGUCAANCGGGUUGUUGCUGGUCCUUGAAAGGGGACAUGUGCACGCUCUGUUUACACAUCCACUCACACCUGUGCACCCUCUGUAGUUCUAUGGUCUGGGAGACCUUGUCUUCCUGCCGUGGUUCUACGUCUUUACACACACACUGUAACAAAGUCUUAAGGAAUGUAUGCAGCGUCUAACGCAAUACAAUAC